GUGCUACGGCAGCACAUAUACUAAAAUUGGAAUGAUACGGAGACGAUUAGCGUGGCCCCUGUUUUAGCAACAAAAAAAGAAAACAAAAAAGAAAUAGUACU
rnacentral:snRNA from 1 species